rnacentral:rRNA from 1 species
CCUACGGGGGGCUGCAGUGGGGAAUAUUGCGCAAUGGGGGAAACCCUGACGCAGCAACGCCGCGUGGGUGAAGAAGGCCUUCGGGUUGUAAAGCCCUUUCGGCUGGGAAGAAGUGAUUUGCGGUGAAUAAUCGCAGAUUGUGAUGGUACCAGAGGAAGAAGCACCGGCAAACUUCGUGCCAGCAGCCGCGGUAAUACGAAGGGUGCGAGCGUUGUUCGGAAUUAUUGGGCGUAAAGGGUUCGUAGGCUGGAAUGUAAGUUGAGUGUGAAAACCCC